AAAAAAAAAGAGGGGGGAGUCCUCGUCUCACACACAGGAAAUCAGACCGGCAGAAUGAAUCGAAUCAAAGCUCUGCCUCCUCACAGAAGAUGAGGACAAUGGCGUAGAAAGAGGCGUCACCGGCUCGGGCCAAACUCCAUCAUCGUCUGCUCUGAGUCUGUUCAGACCAGAGGAACAGGACGGCUGCAGGAACGAAGGAGACGCUCGGGGAUUUUAAGGAGGAACGUUACGACCUCCAGGAGGAACGGAUCGCCGCACAAGGCUACAUCCAUCCAUGGAGGUCUGACCGGACACAUCCGGGCUGAGGUGGCCGAGCUGCUGCCUGACUCGGCCCGCCUGACACAGAGCGAGGAGGCCCGUGGAAAGAAAGAUGUGUACAGGAUGACGGCAGCGUAGCCUCGGUCACGGGUGAAAUCAGCUACAGUCCGACACAGAGCCUUGGCGAUGCCCAUCCCGCGGUAACUGCGACGCACCGACAUGCGCUUCAGCUCCAAGCAACCCGCCACCGUCUCAUUGGGGACGCAACACACCGUGCCGACCACACGACCGUCGCUCUCCGCCACCCAGAAACACGAGUCCUUCUGCUUCAGGUUGAUGUCACUCACAAACAUGGUGAUGAGCAGGAUGAUGAUGAAGCCGGUGAGCAACCCGGCGUUCUGGAUCAGGAAGAAGACGAUCUUGGAGAACGUGUGCAUCUAUUCCCGCACAAUGUUGAUGUUCAGAGGAAAACAGCAGUAAAUAAUUCCCCUAAUGUG